UACGUAGGGUCCGAGCGUUGUCCGGAAUUAUUGGGCGUAAAGAGCUCAUAGGCGGUCUGUCGCGUCGGCUGUGAAAACACGGGGCUCAACUCCGUGCCUGCAGUCGAUACGGGCAGACUAGAGUUCGGUAGGGGAGACUGGAAUUCCUGGUGUAGCGGUGAAAUGCGCAGAUAUCAGGAGGAACACCAGCGGCGAAGGCGGCGCUCUGGGCCGGAACUGACGCUGAGGAGCGAAAGCGUGGGUAGCAAACAGG
rnacentral:rRNA from 1 species